GAGUUUGAUCAUGGCUCAGGAUGAACGCUGGCGGCGUGCCUAAUACAGCAAGUCGAACGAGAACCUCGAUUUCGAUUGAGGGGGAAGUGGCGGACGGGUGAGUAACACGUAGGCGACCUGCCCUGAGGAGGGGGACAACAGCCCGAAAGGGCUGCUAAUACCCCAUAAGCUCACGGUGUUUAGAAGGCGGUGAGAAAAGGAAAUUCGCCUCAGGAGGGGCCUGCGGCCCAUCAGCUAGUUGGCGAGGUAACGGCUCACCAAGGCAGCGACGGGUAGGGGGCCUGAGAGGGUGGUCCCCCACAUGGGCACUGAGACACGGGCCCAACUCCUACGGGAGGCAGCAGUAAGGGAUAUUGCACAAUGGGCGCAAGCCUGAUGCAGCAACGCCGCGUGCCCGAUGAAGGCCUUCGGGUCGUAAAGGGCUUUUCUGGCUGAGGAUGAUGACGGCAGGCCAGGAAUAAGUGUCGGCUAACUACGUGCCAGCAGCCGCGGUAAUAC
rnacentral:rRNA from 1 species